GAUGAAGAACGUAGCGAAAUGCGAUAAGUAAUGUGAAUUGCAGAAUUCAGUGAAUCAUCGAAUCUUUGAACGCACAUUGCGCCCCUUGGUAUUCCGAGGGGCAUGCCUGUUCGAGCGUCAUUAUAACCCCUCAAGCUCAGCUUGGUGUUGGGGCCUGCUGCACUGGCAGCCCUUAAAAUCAGUGGCGGCGCCAUCUGGCUCUAAGCGUAGUAAUUCUUCUCGCUAUGGAGUCCUGGUGGAUGCUUGCCAUCAACCCCCAAUUUUUCUAUGGUUGACCUCGGAUCAGGUAGGGAUAACCGCUGAACUUAAGCAUAUCAAUAAGCGGAGGA
rnacentral:misc_RNA from 1 species